UCAACAUAUUCAGCUGACAAAGACAUGACUCAAAACCAUUAUAAUCCCAGGAGUUUCCCCUCCCCUCCCACCUCUGCUACAUUUGCCAAAUCACAUCUGUUAAGCCUCUCUGAUUGUUUUCUUUUUUCUCCAAGUUAACAGACAGAAGAUAGAGGGCCUGUCAGUCUACAAUUAGAAACAGGAGAGCUGUGGAUUAGCCAGCGUUUUGACUGCCCAGAGAUAGGGGGGCAAUUUAUUUUGUUGCCAUGCCAAGACAUUGCUAGAGAUGUCAAAGGAACCAAAGUUAGAGGGGAAACUUGUGCUUACUGUCCAAUUGCUUGGCCUCAUCUUGGAGUUCACCCUGAAAAUUGUUUUUCCUUUUUGGCCACCAAGUAGACAACCUGGAAAGGAAAAAACCUUGCACCUGACAACCUCAGAGCCUCUAGCUGUGGUCCUAGGAAAUACAUGCAAUGAAAUGCUUGGAAGCAAAGUCUUUGAUCUAGAAACAUAUUUCAGUGCAGAUGUCAUCCUGGAUCACUGGCUCCCUGAUCUCUAUUUGUGUGCACAAACAUCAGAUGCAUUGCGGCGAGUGCGCAGGACUGACUUCAGCUCACAUGCUGCAGGUCACAAGCAUGCCGAAGGGAUCAGUGAAAGGCUGGAUGAGAUGUGGAAGUACCCACCUGUGCCUAGGGAAGAUCUCAGGAAGUAAAAUGCACGAGUGCAAAUGUGCAGUUUUAGGGUCAUGCAGUUUAACAACUUGGAUUCCCAAAAGAUCAAGUCUCCAUUCCCGCCAUGCAACUCUACAAAAAUGGAAGAUUAUGUGACAGACCACCAGGGAACAGAUGAAAGUCCCUAAAUAACAGCACUGAUUCAAACAUGGGACAACCCAAAAGUAUGCCAAACCCCACUAGGAAAGCCAUAUUACUCACAGUUCCCAGAUCUUUCAUUAGACACCAGGAUAUAAUGUGUCAUCCUCUUUUUCCCUCUAUAGUGACUUAUUCUGGCUGCAGAU
rnacentral:lncRNA from 1 species